AUUGAACGCUGGCGGCAGGCCUAACACAUGCAAGUCGAGCGGAUGAAGGGAGCUUGCUCCUGGAUUCAGCGGCGGACGGGUGAGUAAUGCCUAGGAAUCUGCCUGGUAGUGGGGGAUAACGUCCGGAAACGGGCGCUAAUACCGCAUACGUCCUGAGGGAGAAAGUGGGGGAUCUUCGGACCUCACGCUAUCAGAUGAGCCUAGGUCGGAUUAGCUAGUUGGUGGGGUAAAGGCCUACCAAGGCGACGACCCGUAACUGGUCUGAGAGGAUGAUCAGUCACACUGGAACUGAGACACGGUCCAGACUCCUACGGGAGGCAGCAGUGGGGAAUAUUGGACAAGGGGCGAAAGCCUGAUCCAGCCAGGCCGCGUGUGUGAAGAAGGUCUUCGGAUUGUAAAGCACUUUAAGUUGGGAGGAAGGGCAGUAAGUUAAUACCUUGCUGUUUUGACGUUACCAACAGAAUAAGCACCGGCUAACUUCGU
rnacentral:rRNA from 1 species